AACGAACGCUGGCGGCAUGCCUAACACAUGCAAGUCGAACGAGAUCUUCGGGUCUAGUGGCGCACGGGUGCGUAACGCGUGGGAAUCUGCCCUUUGGUUCGGAAUAACAGUUGGAAACGACUGCUAAUACCGGAUGAUGACGAAAGUCCAAAGAUUUAUCGCCAGAGGAUGAGCCCGCGUAGGAUUAGCUAGUUGGUGUGGUAAAGGCGCACCAAGGCGACGAUCCUUAGCUGGUCUGAGAGGAUGAUCAGCCACACUGGGACUGAGACACGGCCCAGACUCCUACGGGAGGCAGCAGUGGGGAAUAUUGGACAAUGGGCGAAAGCCUGAUCCAGCAAUGCCGCGUGAGUGAUGAAGGCCUUAGGGUUGUAAAGCUCUUUUACCCGGGAUGAUAAUGACGGUACCUAUAGAAUAAGGACCGGCUAACUACGUGCCAGCCGCCGCCGUAA
rnacentral:rRNA from 1 species